AAACGGUAACGGAGUUUGUUUCUAGAGAGAGAAACGAAUGUGUGAAUGGGGUAUUGAGUUCACGUGAUUCUCACGUGAGUAUGUGAAUGGUGUAGAUUGUAGAAACAGAAGAGUGGGACCUACACGUGCGAAACGAAGCGUAUCUAAAGUAGUGGCUUGAAAUUGCUCUAUCAAAUGCUGAAAUUUCAUUGGUUUGGGUUUUUUAUUUUUUUAUUUUGCGUUUAGGAUUUUUGGGUGUCGUUUUGGGGUUUUUUUUCGUUGGGUUUGGUUUAUGAGCUGGGUGGGGUCCAUUAAGGACGUGUUUGGUGGUUCUUGUUGUUUAUGAGGUCGCUUUCGUGGCUGCGUUUGGCUUUUUAAUUUGAGGCUGAGAUUGUUUUAGCACUAAGACAAAAAAUCAACUUGUGUGGUUUGGUCUACAAUGCCAAACAAUUGUGUUAUUUCAAC
rnacentral:lncRNA from 1 species